rnacentral:rRNA from 1 species
UACGUAGGGACCAAGCGUUGUCCGGAAUCAUUGGGCGUAAAGAGCGUGUAGGCGGCUUGUUAAGUCUUGCGUGAAAUCUCGGGGCUCAACCCCGAGCGGUCGUGAGAAACUGGCAGGCUAGAGUGCGGGAGAGGAGAGUGGAAUUCCUGGUGUAGCGGUGGAAUGCGCAGAUAUCAGGAGGAACACCGGUGGCGAAGGCGGGUCUCUGGGCAGUAACUGACACUGAGGAGCGAAAGCGUGGGGAGCGAACAGG